UCAAGAUCCUACAAACUUGGGAUACUUAAACUCACAAAAUUAACGGUUAUAGUGCCGGUUCAGAGCGGUUCUAAUCGGUUCCCUCAACUAGUGGUUACCUCUACUUUUUUCUGUCCAUCAUAUCCUUGUCAAUUCAGUUGAGGAGUCCUCUUAUAUAAUGUACAGUACAGGCCCUGCAAAUUACUAAAAUUCCUAUCUUCAAUUGAAGCAUUCUUAAAGAACCACUCGAGUAGUGAACACAGAUGAGGGAUAAGCAGUAGUCUUCUCCCUCCCAUCUUCCAAAUCGGUUGUAAUUUCACUCAUUUCACAUGACAUGAAUGUGUCUCUUUCACAAGGUCUAAUUCAACUCAUUCAUCAAUUACUUGAUUUGUAGAAUACAUUUUUACGAGCUUUCCAUAAGGCUCAUUCAUUUGAGGCUGCUCAGUGCAGAUGAUAAUAUUGUUUAUUGAUAUUGUGAAAUGUAUUAGCAGGCAUUAGCUAAUCCGUAUUUUUUAGGUUAGUGAAUUUGGAAUCUAAACCUUCCAAACGGCCGAUUUCAAAACUUGAGUUUGAGUUUGAAAAGCAAAGUUUAACUAAGAAUAAUGUAAGAGAGCUGUUUUGUAAGGAAGUAUGGUCAUAUUCUAAGAUCUCUAUUAUUUUCUUAAUUUUGCAAUAUAUUUCCUUAUCACU